UAUUUGGUUUGGAGCUCCAUGUACUGCACAAGUUUGUAAAUCCAGAUGAUCAUGUUCUCCAACAAGAUUUGAAAAAUGCUAAAAAAUGGUCUCUUCUCCGUGGCUCCCGUAAAAUGAAAGUGUGGUUUUUCUCUGGUUCUGUGCAGCAGAGGAUGCCCUGUGGAUCGAUCAGUGGCCUUCCAUCAGGUGGCUGCUAAUGAAUGAGAUGAGAGUGGGAGGGUGAGUCUAGUGAAGUAUUGCUCUCUUCAGCAGAGUUCUUGUCUCCGGGUCUGACAGCAUCCUCCCCCCGGCCGCUUCACCACUAUCUGUCCAGUCACUAUCAAUUACUAAGCUCUGAAACAUCCUGCACCCUGUACACCUUCCACGGCGAGUGUGAAUGCACAUGUCGGGGCCUUGACCUGCUAUGUGUGUGCGUGCCGCAUGUCAGGAAACGAGAGGUAAUGCUAUAGAGGCAGGUGGCCACCGAAGCAUCUUGCUACCCAUUUUGUGUAAUUGUGGUCAUCUCACCUUGACAUUGUGUGUGUGUGCUCUUGUCUUUCUACUAAGGACAAAGAUGUUGGAGCUCUGGUACAGUGGUCAACCCAUGCAGGAGACCGGCACAGAAAUGGGGAUGGAAAGAAUGGGAUUCGGUAUAUGCUGAUGAAGAGGAAUUCAAGAUUGAUGAUGAUGAAUCAUGAUGAGUCACUGUAAAAAAGUCAGAGACUAGUGCAAUGUGGUGAUAAUAACAACAGCUGUGGUCAUGAAAUGAUUCAGACAUCUGCUCCCCAUUGAAUAUUUGUUUACUCUCAUAAUGAGGCAACAGCUUAUUUAGCAUGUUUUAUUAUUACUGAACUAAUCAAUGCAGGGGACUACAGAGUGUGUCCUGGGUCAUGUUCAUCCAGUGUGGCUUACUACGUCAGCCUGGAAAGUUUCGAAAGGUUUGUCCAUUCAUCGAGUCAAGCUUAACAUUUGAUGAGCCUUUGGGCUGCUUUUCACUCCUUUUCAUUUGCUGUGUUUUCAGAACACAGGUUCAUUCCAUGUUAUCUUCAACAUUUUCUGGCUGACCAGUUGGACCAGAUGGUCCUUGAUUGCAUAGCAGUACAAUGCCAGCACUGACUUUGGGAUCAGUCUUAAAGGAAUAUUUUGUGCAAAAUGAAAGUUCUGUGCCAUUUACUCACCCUUAUGUCAUUUCAAAUCUGUAUCUGUAAAACAUGACCUAAUUUUUGUGUUCAGAAAAUAAAUAAAUAAAUAAAUAAAAAUAAGAAUAAUAA
ensembl:lncRNA